CCCAGUCAGACUCCUUCAUUCGUUCAAACACACAUCUCUUGAGCAGCUUCUCCAUUCUAGCUUCCGGGGAAGAGCCGAGGGCAGUCCCUCGCAGGAGGUUCAUGUGUGCUUGUGAAACGCAAGCACAUUAUCUCAGAGGCAAAACAGCUACAGGAAAGGAGGAAGAGUCCAAUGUGACAGAGAAAAGAUAAUCAUUGUUGGCAGUGUCAUCUUGACUCUCAAUGAUAGCGUCUGUGACAGGUGGGAGUGAGGCUGCAGAAUGAAACAGAGGGGGAAUCACCGGAAAGCAUCCUCCAUCUGCCUGGGAAGACCUGCAUCAGGCCUGAAAGUGAUAUCGUGGGAACCAACAGAGGACUUGGAAAUCGGAAGAGAUGAGAAUACGGAGACCCCUCUCCAGUGAAUUUCUGCACCGGUCGCUUUGCUCAGCUUUCCCUCCUGUUCCUGAAACGUCUUCCUCAUUCCUCUCAGCCUCUCUAAAUUCUCCAAAUGCUUCAAGUUUCACUAAUUCCCUUAUAAGGCUUAUAGAAUUUCCCACAUGGACCCUCAGUAGGUUAAAAUUUCCAAGAGCACAAAGAACACUUUUGAUUGUGUUCUUCCUCAUUUCCCCACUGUCUAGCACUGUACUUAGCGUUUGUCAGACGCUUAAAAUAUACGUGCUGAAUGAGUUGAUGGCUUUGAAUGACUGGGGGAAUUUUGGGUCCUUCACUCAUCUCAAGUAAACUGUGAAUCAUCAGAAAGAAUAGAAGGAAAAGAGAUUCAUUCUUCUCAAAACACACACCGUCUGUACCACAUAAUUUAGCAAUUAAUUAUGAUUAAUUUAGCAAUUAAAAUGAGCAAUUUAAUGCUCAUUUUGACAGUACAAAGAACCGGCAGCAUUUGUUUCCAUGUCACUUUAAGAACAUUUCCAGCUCAACUGACUGACUUAGGAGGAAUAAUAAUCACAAGUGACAGUGUCCAUGACGGCC
rnacentral:lncRNA from 1 species